AGAGUUUGAUCCUGGCUCAGAUUGAACGCUGGCGGCAUGCUUUACACAUGCAAGUCGAACGGCAGCACGGGGGCAACCCUGGUGGCGAGUGGGCGAACGGGUGAGUAAUAGGCAUCGGAACGUAUACCUUGAGUCGGGGGUAAUAACGGCAAGUCGGAAAGUUGUGACUAAUACCGCAUAAGCUCUGAGGAGGAAAGACGGGGGACCGAAAGGGCCUCGGCGCUGAAGGUAGCGGCCGAUGUCCGAUUAGCUAGUUGGUGAGGUAAAGGCUUACCAAGGCGACGAUCGGUAGCUGGUCUGAGAGGAUGAUCAGCCACACUGGGACUGAGACACGGCCCAGAC
rnacentral:rRNA from 1 species